rnacentral:tRNA from 1 species
GGAAAAUCAUCGUCCCCGGUGGGGCGGCUGGACUUCAAAUCCAGAUGGGGUUGCCAGCGACCCUUGGCAGGUUCGACUCCUGUGAUUUUCC